CAGGACGACGCUGGCGGCGUGCCUAACACAUGCAAGUCGAGCGGAGUUAACAAGAGGAAGUUUCGGAUGGAAUUUGUAAUUAGCGGCGGACGGUGAGUAACGCGUGAGCGACCAACCUUGCACAGGGGGAUAACGGACCGAAAGGUUCACUAAUACCGCAUGAGACCACGGUGUUGCAUGACACAGAGGUCAAAGGAGCAAUCCGGUGCAAGACGGGCUCGCGUCCGAUUAGGUAGUUGGUGGGGUAAUGGCCCACCAAGCCUAUGAUCGGUAGCCGACCUGAGAGGGUGAUCGGCCACAUUGGAACUGAGAUACGGUCCAAACUCCUACGGGAGGCAGCAGUGGGGAAUAUUGGGCCAAUGGGGGAAACCCUGACCCAGCAACGCCGCGUGAAGGAAGAAGGUUUUCGGAUUGUAAACUUCUGUCCUUGGUGAAGAGAAGAAGACGGUAGCCAAGGAGGAAGCCCCGGCUAACUACGUGCCAGCCGCCGC
rnacentral:rRNA from 1 species